rnacentral:rRNA from 1 species
AUAUUGUCAAUUUUUCGCAUGUUAGAUUGACCAAAGGAUUUAUUCGCUUUGAGAUGGGCUUGCGGCCUAUCAGGUAGUUGGUGAGGUAAUGGCUCACCAAGCCUACGACGGGUAGCUGGUCUGAGAGGACGAUCAGCCGGAUUGGGACUGAGAUACGGCCCAGACUCCUACGGGGGGCAGCAAUUAGGAAUCUUGCACAAUGGGGGAAACCCUGAUGCAGCGACGUCGCGUGGAGGAUGAAGGAUCUAUGGUCUGUAAACUCCUUUUAUUGGGGAAGAAAAAAAUGACGGUACCCAAUGAAUAAGCCCCGGCUAACUACGUGCCAGCAGCCGCGGUAAUACGUAGGGGGCGAGCGUUGUCCGAAGUUACUGGGCGUAAAGCGCUUGUAGGCGGCUACUUAAGUCUGAGGUGAAAGGUUCAACGCUCAACGUGAACAGUGCCUUGGAUACUGGGUGGCUUGAGUUAGGCAGGGGAAAAUGGAAUUUCUGGUGUAGCGGUGAAAUGCGUAGAUAUCAGAAGGAACACCAAUGGCGAAGGCAAUUUUCUGGGCUAUAACUGACGCUGAGAAGCGAAAGCGUGGGGAGCAAACGGGAUUAGAUACCCCGGUAGUCCACGCUGUAAACGAUGAGUGCUAGGUGUCGGGGGUAUCGACCCUCCCGGUGCCGUCGCUAACGCAU